GACGAACGCUGGCGGCGUGCCUAAUACAUGCAAGUAGAACGCUGAAGGAGGAGCUUGCUUCUCUGGAUGAGUUGCGAACGGGUGAGUAACGCGUAGGUAACCUGCCUGGUAGCGGGGGAUAACUAUUGGAAACGAUAGCUAAUACCGCAUAAUAUUGACUAUUGCAUGAUAGUCAGUUGAAAGGUGCAACUGCACCACUACCAGAUGGACCUGCGUUGUAUUAGCUAGUUGGUGGGGUAACGGCUCACCAAGGCGACGAUACAUAGCCGACCUGAGAGGGUGAUCGGCCACACUGGGACUGAGACACGGCCCAGACUCCUACGGGAGGCAGCAGUAGGGAAUCUUCGGCAAUGGACGGAAGUCUGACCGAGCAACGCCGCGUGAGUGAAGAAGGUUUUCGGAUCGUAAAGCUCUGUUGUAAGAGAAGAACGAGUGUGAGAGUGGAAAGCUCACGCUGUGACGGUAUCUUACCAGAAAGGGACGGCUAACUACGUG
rnacentral:rRNA from 1 species